rnacentral:rRNA from 1 species
GAUUAACGCUGGCGGCGUGCAUAACACAUGCAAGUCGAACGAUGAAACUUAACUGAUUUCUUCGGAAUGAUUUUAAGUGGAUUAGUGGCGGACGGGUGAGUAACGCGUGAGUAACCUGCCUUGGAGAAGGGGAUAGCCUUUGGAAACGAAGAAUAAUACCCUAUGAUAUGAUAAUAUCUCAUGAUAUUAUCAUCAAAGAUUUAUCGCUCUAAGAUGGACUUGCGUCUGAUUAGUUAGUUGGUGAGGUAACAGCUCACCAAGGCAGCGAUCAGUAGCCGGCUUGAGAGAGUGUACGGCAACAUUGGGACUGAGACACGGCCCAGACUCCUACGGGAGGCAGCAGUGGGGAAUUUUGCACAAUGGGGGAAACCCUGAUGCAGCGACGCCGCGUGAUUUAGAAGGCCUUCGGGUUGUAAAAAUCUUUUGUAUGGGAAGAAAAUGACAGUACCAUACGAAUAAGGACCGGCUAAUUACGUG